rnacentral:tRNA from 1 species
GAGUGUAUAGCUCAAGUGGUAGAGCGCAUGCUUAGCAUGCAUGAGGUCCUGGGUUCAAUCCCCAGUACCUCCA